UUUUGCAUUGAGUGACAAAAUAGUAAUGUUAUAUCUUUGAGAGUGGUUGCCUACUUAUCGAGACAACGAUGAUUUAUCAGUAUUGCGGGCUGCAGACCGUAAUAUUAAUAACUCAUUCGUGGAUUCGCUAAGCAAGCAAACCGGUAGGUUAUUUUAUGUUAGUAUAAUAAAAUAUAUAU